rnacentral:rRNA from 1 species
ACAUAAAAGGUGGCUUCGGCUACCACUUACAGAUGGACCCGCGGCGCAUUAGCUAGUUGGUGAGGUAACGGCUCACCAAGGCGACGAUGCGUAGCCGACCUGAGAGGGUGAUCGGCCACACUGGGACUGAGACACGGCCCAGACUCCUACGGGAGGCAGCAGUAGGGAAUCUUCCGCAAUGGACGAAAGUCUGACGGAGCAACGCCGCGUGAGUGAUGAAGGUUUUCGGAUCGUAAAGCUCUGUUGUUAGGGAAGAACAAGUGCCGUUCAAAUAGGGCGGCACCUUGACGGUACCUAACCAGAAAGCCACGGCUAACUACGUGCCAGCAGCCGCGGUAAUACGUAGGUGGCAAGCGUUGUCCGGAAUUAUUGGGCGUAAAGGGCUCGCAGGCGGUUUCUUAAGUCUGAUGUGAAAGCCCCCGGCUCAACCGGGGAGGGUCAUUGGAAACUGGGGAACUUGAGUGCAGAAGAGGAGAGUGGAAUUCCACGUGUAGCGGUGAAAUGCGUAGAGAUGUGGAGGAACACCAGUGGCGAAGGCGACUCUCUGGUCUGUAACUGACGCUGAGGAGCGAAAGCGUGGGGAGCGAACAGGAUUAGAUACCCUGGUAGUCCACGCCGUAAACGAUGAGUGCUAAGUGUUAGGGGGUUUCCGCCCCUUAGUGCUGCAGCUAACGCAUUAAGCACUCCGCCUGGGGAGUACGGUCGCAAG